rnacentral:rRNA from 1 species
UACGUAGGGUGCAAGCGUUGUCCGGAAUUAUUGGGCGUAAAGAGCUCGUAGGCGGUUUGUCGCGUCUGCUGUGAAAACUCGGGGCUUAACCCCGGGCCUGCAGUGGGUACGGGCAGACUAGAGUGCGGUAGGGGAGACUGGAAUUCCUGGUGUAGCGGUGAAAUGCGCAGAUAUCGUAAGGAAGACCAGUGGCGAAGGCGGGUCUCUGGACAGUUCCUGACGCUGAGGCACGAAGGCCAGGGGAGCAAACGGG